rnacentral:rRNA from 1 species
UACGGAGGGGGCUAGCGUUGUUCGGAAUUACUGGGCGUAAAGCGCACGUAGGCGGCUUUGUAAGUUAGAGGUGAAAGCCCAGGGCUCAACCCUGGAAGUGCACUUGAUACUGGAAGUCUUGAAUGUGGUAGAGGCUAUUAGAAUUCUUGGUGUAGUGGUGAAAUACGUAGAUAUCAAGAGGAAUACCGGAGGCGAAGGCGGAUAGCUGGGCCAACAUUGACGCUGAGACCCGAAAGCGUGGGGAUCAAACAGG